rnacentral:rRNA from 1 species
GACGAACGCUGGCGGCGUGCUUAACACAUGCAAGUCGAACGGUGAACCCUUCGGGGGGAUCAGUGGCGAACGGGUGAGUAACACGUGAGCAACCUGCCCUUGACUCUGGGAUAACUCCGGGAAACCGGAGCUAAUACCGGAUAUGACGCACGGAGGCAUCUCCUGUGUGUGGAAAGAUUUAUCGGUCAAGGAUGGGCUCGCGGCCUAUCAGCUUGUUGGUGGGGUGAUGGCCUACCAAGGCGACGACGGGUAGCCGGCCUGAGAGGGCGACCGGCCACACUGGGACUGAGACACGGCCCAGACUCCUACGGGAGGCAGCAGUGGGGAAUAUUGCGCAAUGGGCGAAAGCCUGACGCAGCGACGCCGCGUGAGGGACGAAGGCCUUCGGGUUGUAAACCUCUUUCAGCAGGGAAGAAGCGAGAGUGACGGUACCUGCAGAAGAAGCACCGGCUAACUACGUGCCAGCCGCCGCGGUAAAAC